UGGGGAAUAUUGCACAAUGGGGGAAACCCUGAUGCAGCGACGCCGCGUGAAGGAAGAAGUAUCUCGGUAUGUAAACUUCUAUCAGCAGGGAAGAUAAUGACGGUACCUGACUAAGAAGCCCCGGCUAACUACGUGCC
rnacentral:rRNA from 1 species